UCCAUCAUCUACAUUUUUAUCAUAAUCCAAUUGUUUAUUAUUGAAAGUUUAGACAAUUUCUUCAACCAUUUGCAAGACCCGAAAUUGGGACCAAAAUUUUGGCCCAAACACAAAUUCAAUUCAGUACAUUCAGCAAGGCCCAAUUCUCUCUCAUUCAACCAAACUCAAGAACCAAUUAAAAUAUACCAAUAGCCCAACAAGAUAAUCUCCCAACCCGUCCCACCUUCUUUUCUAAAAAUAAAUCAAGCCGCAAGUUAAUGACACGCGACAAGGUCAACAACAAUUCUAAACAACCUGGUAUGCAUCCCCAUCUUCCCAAACGCGUAAACAACGCCCAACAACAAUCACAAAGAAUGAUUUUAAUCUCGAACAUGUGAAAUGGUCCUCGCGCUUUCGUGUGGAUCCACGUAGCCUUCAAGGACGAUCGAUCGAUCAAAUCCGUCUAUUUUUCUUUCCUCUUCUAGAAUGGAGCUAAAUUUUCAAAAAAGGUUAUUUCUCUAAAAUGGUGAAAGAAUUUUGAGUUUUGAUUCGGGGGUGGGCCUCGUUCUUAUCGAUUUCUCUCCUUUUCCCCAAAUUCUGAACCCUAAUAUCUUCACAUAUUUACCUCAUCUUUUCACUGUGAGCGGGGGAAUUUCUUUGGGAGAAAAGAAAUUUUUUGUGAUAGACAUAGAGAGUUGUAAACAGAAAAAAUGAAGGGGAUGUUUGGAUAAUAUUUUUGUAAAAAAAAUUGUUUCAAUUAGAUGAGACAUUAGAGAAAGAUUUGGAUAUUAGCUCAGUCUUAGCAUUUGUCCGCUUUGUUUUGUCCUUCCAAGUUUUUUGGGAUUCGUCAUUUCAGUGCACAAGUCGUUAAUAGCUCGUUGGUUUCAGUUAGAUGCCAGAGAAAAGAGUCACUUGGACUCCACUCUUGCAUAUCCUUGAGUCUUAUCGAGUCAAGAUUUGGUAUUCGGGGGGAGAAAUAGAGGCUAAUGCAAGCCUCCAAAGUCUCAAGAAAGGGAUCGAGGGGCUCGAGGAGCUAAAUUAGGAUGUAUAAAAAGAGUAUACAAUCCAACAUACAGGGGAAAUCACUAAAAUACACCCCAUGUACGGAAGUAUAAGAUCACUGUAUAUGCUGGAUUUUGGAAGGAAAACAGGCCCAAAGGCCUAAAAAUUUACAACAGCAAAAUGUGGGCAAAAAGCCCAAAUUUGAUAUUUCCUUUCCUUCUUAUUUAUUUAUCAUUAUAUUUAACUAACAAUAUAUAUGACCUUGGUUUUAUUUAAUUAAUUCCCGAUGA